AUUGCAUAAAUAUUAAUUAGUGUCGUGAAAUUCUCUCAAAAAAAUAAAUAUAUAUUACAUUUUACUAACGUAAAGCGGUUUUUGUUUCUUGGUGACAUUGUGGUGCAUUUCCCGGUUUCACAAGAUGAGGUCACCCAUUUCCUCUUUUAAAACUUCAUCAAAGACAUGAACACUGAGCUGAUGCUGCACUCAGAUGAGUUUGACUAUUUUCAGGUUGGAGAGAAUUCAGCCGUGACCUUCUGCCUCAAAGAACUGAGAGGAUGACUGCCAUGUCAACAUCCCCAAGACCUCCACUGCAGAAAGCUCCAUGUGUGAAGGGCCAAUGGUUUGUGUCGCUGAUGGGGAACAGGUGGCUUCCAAUCAUAGCAGUGAGGUUUUUAAUCCAGCCCUUCAUAUGAGGAAGAUGAUUCAGCUUCAUGCACCUGGAGAGAACCUGCCUGAAACAUCAAACUUUACUACACCGGUAACUCCAGACACUUUUAAGUAAUUCUGGAGAGAUAAAAGGAAAACUCGAGGACAAUAGUAAAGUGGCGCACAAUCACGUUUUGUUGCAGAGCUGAGGAAUUUCAACCUAAACACACAGUUCAGAUGAGUUCGGUCACGGUGGAGAAGAUAAAUCAAAACUUCAAAACAGAUAUUCUUGAGGAUUGAAGGACUCGGUUUUCUGUGUGUCCACCGAGGAAGCUUUGAAUCACUGCCUGAGAAACGACUGCUACCUUGCUGCAUUAUCCAGAGAAAGCCUUGUGUGUUGCAUGACUGUUGGAUUGAAAACAUAUGUAGUUAGAAGCUUGACGAUUCAGAUUGUGUCAGAGUUGAGCUGGACAGCUGUGCAAAACAGAAUAACUUAAUUUCACUCCCUUUUUAAAGGCCUUUUUAUCAUUUGAGCUCUUAAUGUCUUCAAAAAAUCUUCAGUCAGUUGCUAUUGUAUUAGUUGAUGCUCACGAUAUCGAGGUCACAUGAUAUACUGGUUUUGUUGACUGCUCACUGCUGACAGACAAAUUUAGUCUCCAGCCACUUACACUUGAUGGUAAUGUGCUCAGUAUUUCAGACUCUCGUGGCAUUUGUAACAACUUACACCUUAGUUGAGUAUAAAAAUGUAGGAAAACCACAAACUGUUGCAGUUACACUAUACAAUGUAUACAGACAUGAUGUAUAUAAAAAUCCAAAGAAAUGGAUGCCUUAAAUCUCAA